rnacentral:rRNA from 1 species
CUUCCUUCGGGAAGUGGAUUAGCGGCGGACGGGUGAGUAACACGUGGGUAACCUGCCUCAAAGAGUGGGAUAGCCUCCCGAAAGGGAGAUUAAUACCGCAUAACAUUAUUUUAUGGCAUCAUAAAAUAAUCAAAGGAGCAAUCCGCUUUGAGAUGGACCCGCGGCGCAUUAGCUAGUUGGUGAGGUAACGGCUCACCAAGGCAACGAUGCGUAGCCGACCUGAGAGGGUGAUCGGCCACAUUGGAACUGAGAUACGGUCCAGACUCCUACGGGAGGCAGCAGUGGGGAAUAUUGCGCAAUGGGGGAAACCCUGACGCAGCAACGCCGCGUGAGUGAUGAAGGUUUUCGGAUCGUAAAACUCUGUCUUUAGGGACGAUAAUGACGGUACCUAAGGAGGAAGCCACGGCUAACUACGUGCCAGCAGCCGCGGUAAUACGUAGGUGGCAAGCGUUGUCCGGAUUUACUGGGCGUAAAGAGUAUGUAGGUGGGUGCUUAAGUCAGAUGUGAAAUUCCCGGGCUCAACCUGGGAGCUGCAUUUGAAACUGGGCAUCUAGAGUGCAGGAGAGGAAAGUGGAAUUCCUAGUGUAGCGGUGAAAUGCGUAGAGAUUAGGAAGAACACCAG